rnacentral:rRNA from 1 species
UACGGAGGGUGCGAGCGUUGUCCGGAAUCACUGGGCGUAAAGGGCGCGUAGGUGGCGCGGGCAGUCAACGGUGAAAGUUCGGGGCUCAACCCUGAAUCGGCCGUCGAUACUCCCGAGCUCGAGCACUGUAGGGGCAGAUGGAAUUCCGGGUGUAGCGGUGGAAUGCGUAGAGAUCCGGAAGAACACCGGUGGCGAAGGCGGUCUGCUGGGCAGUAGCUGACACUGAGGCGCGACAGCGUGGGGAGCAAACAGG